rnacentral:lncRNA from 7 species
CGCUGAGAUCCGCGCGCCCGUGGCGCAACAGAAUCACGGUGGGGUCGUGCCUGCCCAUAAAAACUGGGGCCAUGGUGAUCGGCUCGUCCCUCAGUGCGCCUCCAUCGAUCCAGAGAGCUCGCCACGGAGAGAGAGAGAACAUGAAGCACACGACCUCGGCGCCGCGCGCCAUUCAUCGCUCACCAUCGAUAUGUCCUCCAUUGAGGGAUUUGGGUUCACCUCUGGAGUCCCUUGAAGCCGACGCAAAGACCACGCAAUCUCGUUCUCAUCCCGGGAGCAUCGAAUUGCUUGCCAGGGCUCACGAUCCACCGCGGUGCCGCCAAAACCCGUGGCCAGACCUACUGUCCC